rnacentral:lncRNA from 1 species
AACGAAGCCACAGCACAAGCCAGGGCUGGGCUGUCCCUGCGGCAGCGCUCCCAAGGGAAACCCCCCUUACAGCUCCCGUUAAUCCCCACCUGGAAAUUAUUUCUAUUCUAUAUAUCACUGAUACGUUAUCGAGAUAUUUAAUUAUACAUCCGGCUCCUGAUUUAUUCUCCCAGCUGGGGCAACCACCUCUAAAACACCGGGUUGUACCCGUAGCAGCUCGCGUUUGCAGAGGGCUCUGUAGGGAUGAUACCGCCGCUGCGUUGACGCUGCUUAACGGGGCUCUUAGUUAUCCUCCAGCUGACCAGCUCUGCAGCCCACCUGCUCCCAAUUAUUUACAAAUAACUCAUUAUUUAUAAAUAACCAGCUUGGCCUGAUGAGGUUUCAGGCUUGUUGGUAGCAUGGCUCUGGCUCGCAGUGUCUGGCUGCUCCUUAGCAGUAUCUUUUGGCUGCUGGAAGGUGGCCCUGGGGGGGCGCAGCACACGGGCAGCCCCCAGCGUGGCGGCGGUGGCCCGCGGGGCGACGACAUCCUCAGCAUCAAUGGAGCACUUGCUCCACUCAAGGCGCCCGACAGCAGCUUCCUUGUCGAAGGGGACAUCGUCCGGGCGGUGAGUGAGGGUGGCGGGGCCACCGCGGGGUG